rnacentral:rRNA from 1 species
CGGCAACAGCUCAAAUUUGAAAUCUGGCUCUUUUAGAGUCCGAGUUGUAAUUUGCAGAGGGCGCUUUGGCGUUGGCAGCGGUCCAAGUCUCUUGGAACAGAGCGUCAUAGAGGGUGAGAAUCCCGU